rnacentral:rRNA from 1 species
UACGAAGGGGGCUAGCGUUGCUCGGAAUCACUGGGCGUAAAGGGCGCGUAGGCGGCCAGAUCAGUCAGGCGUGAAAGCCCUGGGCUCAACCUGGGGACUGCGCUUGAGACGGUUUGGCUUGAGGGUGGAAGAGGCUCGCGGAAUUCCCAGUGUAGAGGUGAAAUUCGUAGAUAUUGGGAAGAACACCGGUGGCGAAGGCGGCGAGCUGGUCCAUCACUGACGCUGAGGCGCGAAAGCCAGGGGAGCAAACGGG